rnacentral:rRNA from 1 species
ACACCGGCAGCCCAAGUGGUGGCCAUUUUUAUUGGGCCUAAAGCGUUCGUAGCCGGCCUGAUAAGUCUCUGGUGAAAUCCCGCAGCUUAACUGUGGGAAUUGCUGGAGAUACUAUCAGGCUUGAGGUCGGGAGAGGUUAGAGGUACUCCCAGGGUAGGGGUGAAAUCCUAUAAUCCUGGGAGGACCACCUGUGGCGAAGGCGUCUAACUGGAACGAACCUGACGGUGAGUAACGAAAGCCAGGGGCGCGAACCGGAUUAGAUACCCGGGUAGUCCUGGCCGUAAACGAUGUGGACUUGGUGUUGGGAUGGCCUCGAGCUGCCCAGUGCCGAAGGGAAGCUGUUAAGUCCACCGCCUGGGAAGUACGGUCGCAAGACUGAAACUCAAAGGAAUUGACGGGG